UACGGAGGGUGCAAGCGUUAUCCGGAUUCACUGGGCUUAAAGGGUGCGUAGGUGGGCAGGCAAGUCAGUGGUGAAAUCUCCGGGCUUAACUCGGAAACUGCCAUUGAUACUAUCUGUCUUGAAUACCGUGGAGGUUAGCGGAAUAUGUCAUGUAGCGGUGAAAUGCUUAGAUAUGACAUAGAACACCAAUUGCGAAGGCAGCUGGCUACACGAAUAUUGACACUGAUGCACGAAAGCGUGGGGAUCAAACAGG
rnacentral:rRNA from 1 species